GAUCAAACUUGUAAGUUGGAAAAUUUAUCACCUUGUACCAAAUGAACUUGAAGAGUUAUAAAAAACAUAAGAUGAACUCUUGGAGAAGAGCCUAAUUCAAAAAAAUAUGUCACCAUAGGAAGAACCUAUAUUCUUUGUAUCUAAAAAGAUGGUAGACUCAAGCUUUUCAUCAAUUAUUGAGGCACUAGUGAACAAACUAUGAAGAAUGCAUAUCUACUUUCACAUAUAGAUG
rnacentral:lncRNA from 1 species